rnacentral:rRNA from 1 species
ACUGCUCCGUAACACGUGGACAACCUACCCUCAGCACGGGGAUAAACCCGGGAAACUGGGUAUAAUACCCGAUAGAUCUCGGCUGCUGGAAUGCAUCGAGUUCUAAAGCUCCGGCGCCUGAGGAUGGGUCUGCGGCCUAUCAGGUAGUAGUGGGUGUAGCGUACCUACUAGCCUACGACGGGUACGGGUUGUGAGAGCAAGAGCCCGGAGAUGGAUUCUGAGACACGAAUCCAGGCCCUACGGGGUGCAGCAGGCGCGAAGACUUUACAAUGCCGGCAACGGCGAUAAGGGGACCUCGAGUGCCAGGUUACAAAUCUGGCUGUCGUGAUGCCUAAAAAGCAUUGCAUAGCAAGGGCCGGGCAAGACCGGUGCCAGCCGCCGCGGUAACACCGGCGGCUCGAGUGGUAACCGUUAUUAUUGGGUCUAAAGGGUCUGUAGCCGGCCGGAUAAGUCUCUUGGGAAAUCCAGCAGCUCAACUGUUGGGCUUUCAGGAGAUACUGUCUGGCUCGAGGCCGGGAGAGGUGAGAGGUACUUCAGGGGUAGGGGUGAAAUCUUGUAAUCCUUGAAGGACCACCAGUGGCGAAGGCGUCUCACCAGAACGGACCUGACGGCAAGGGACGAAAGCUAGGGGCACGAACCGGAUUAGAUACCCGGGUAGUCCUAGCCGUAAACGAUACUCGCUAGGUGUCGGCCCCGGUGCGACCGUUGUCGGUGCCGUAGGGAAGCCGUGAAGCGAGCCACCUGGGAAGUACGGCCGCAAGGCUGAAACUUAAAGGAAUUGGCGGGGGAGCAC